rnacentral:lncRNA from 10 species
CACAUAGAUGACUCUUAUACUUUCUCAUAUUUUUCGUCUAGCAUCUGUUUUUCAGAGCGUAAUCUUGUUUGAAUAGGGCCACAGAACUGGCCAAUGUCAGAGAGGACUGAUAUUCCAAAUUUAAUUACUUGUAUAGGUUUAUUUUCAACAAGAAUUACUUCAUAACUCAGCCUUCACUCUUUCAGACUAAACUGUCUCCUUCCAUCUGGGGCACGUAACUUGACCGUGGCCUCACUUCGUCUCUGAGAUCUAGGGCAGUGAUGGGCAGCCUGUUUCUUGUAGAUGCUUGUUGAUGGAAAGGUUGAAGCUUAUCUCCCUCACAGCCAUCCCGUGGUCCAGACACUCCUUCCCCACUCCUCUGAGUUCUUGGCAGCCUCCCUGGGGGGAAAUUCGGAUGUGUUCUCAUUACAGCACAGUGAUAGAAAGCAAAUCAAGGGCUGCCUGGGACAAGGGAUGGCAGGGAAUAGAUUACAAAGGAGCACAUGGAAAGGUUGUGAGGUGAUGGAAAUAUUCUAGGGCAUGAUGGUGGUAGUAUAAUGCAGCUGUCUACAUUUGUCAAAACUCAGUGAAUUGUACACUUACAUUUUAUUGUAUGUAAAUUAUAUCUCAAUUUUAAAAAGCAGGGGAAAUAUCCUGAACCAGUAGUAUGUGCAAUCCCAUUAAAAAAGCUGCAGUAUGAGAAAUCCCAUUACAAAAUGGCUGCAAUCUUCCUUUCAUCUUUAUGCUGUGUCAGUCCCACUUAAUGUCAUCCACUGAGUUAUUUCCUGGAGCAUGCUAUAGACUUCUUUUCGUCUCUGCUUUUCCAGAUACUGUUCCUUCUACCUGCAAUGCUCAUCACUAUGGAAUAUAGAAACCCAGUAAGCACUUUGGAAUGAUUUCAGAGACAACAGUCACGCACCAGAAUCUCCUUGUCUAGCUGUUAGCAGGUCUUUGAUUUAGGGAUUUCUUCAGUUGGGAGAUCUAUCCAGAAAUUCUUUCUUUUGAUGU